UUUAUCAAAUCUAACACACUUUUUGAUGCAGAAAAAUGAAGAUAGCCUCCUAGCAUUUCAAUGCCCUCUCCACUUUUGCUUGGACUGAGAUUACCCCCAAACAUAAGGAGAGCAUAAAUCUGAUGGUACCCUGAGUCUUUUGCUUGGACUGAGAUUACCCCCAAACAUAAGGAGAGCAUAAUCUGAUAUGUUUGUUGAAUCUCUGAUAUAAAUGCUUGUAGUCUUGACUUUCUCACUGUAAACCAAGUAUGGAAGAGGGAAAAGAUGAACACCAGCAUUAACAGAUGCAGGGUGAAU
rnacentral:lncRNA from 1 species